GACGAACGCUGGCGGCGCGCUUAACACAUGCAAGUCGAGCGAGAACCGGGACUUCGGUCCCGGGGACAGCGGCGAACGGGUGAGUAACACGUGGGUAAUCUGCCCUCGAUUCUGGGAUAGCCCGGGGAAACCCGGAUUAAUACCCGGAUAGCCUUUCGAGUUUUCGGGCUUGAAAGAAAAGGUAGCUUCGGCCUCCGAUCGAGGAUGAGCCCGCGGUGGAUUAGCUUGUUGGCGGGGUAAUGGCCCACCAAGGCGACGAUCCAUAGCUGGUCUGAGAGGACGAUCAGCCACACUGGGACUGAGACACGGCCCAGACUCCUACGGGUGGCUG
rnacentral:rRNA from 1 species